CGCACAUUGCGCCCUUUGGUAUUCCGAAGGGCAUGCCUGUCCGAGCGUCAUUAUCAACCCUCAAGCCUGGCUUGUCGUUGGGCCUCGGUCGCGGAGACGCGACCGGUCCGAAAGUGAAUGACGGCGUCGGUCUGACCCGCGGUGCAACGAGCCUCUGGCACGCACGGGCGGGGCAGGCCGGCCUGGUCUCCAUCCCCCUUCUCAGGUUGACCUCGGAUCAGGUAGGAAUACCCGCUGAACUUAA
rnacentral:misc_RNA from 1 species